UACGUAGGGACCAAGCGUUGUCCGGAAUCAUUGGGCGUAAAGCGCGUGUAGGUGGCCAUGUAGGUCCGCUGUGAAAACUUGAGGCUCAACCUCAAGCUGUCGGUGGAAACCACAUGGCUAGAGUCCGGAAGAGGAGAGUGGAAUUCCUGGUGUAGCGGUGAAAUGCGCAGAUAUCAGGAAGAACACCAAUGGCGAAGGCAGCUCUCUGGGACGGUACUGACACUGAGACGCGAAAGCGUGGGGAGCGAACAGG
rnacentral:rRNA from 1 species